AUUGAACGCUGGCGGCAGGCCUAACACAUGCAAGUCGAGCGAGCGGCGGACGGGUGCGUCAUGUAUGGGGACUGCCCGAUAGAGGGGGAUAACUACUGGAAACGGUGGCUAAUCCCGCAUACUAUCGGAUAACCCAUAUGGGAUUAGCUAGUAGGUGGGGUAAAGGCUGACCUAGGCGACGAUCUCUAGCUGGUCUGAGAGGAUGAUCGGCUACACUGGGACUGAGACCCGGCCCAUACUCCUACGUAGGCAGCAGUGGGGAAUAUUCCGCAAUGGGCGCAAGCCUGAUGCAGCCAUGCCGCGUGUAUGAAGAAGGCCUUAGGGUGGUAAAGUGCUUUCAUCGGAGAGGCGUUACCCGCAGAAGAAGCACCGGCUAACUCCGUGCCAGCAGCCGCGGUAAUUC
rnacentral:rRNA from 1 species